UGGUCUUUCUUUUAUUUUGCAGAUGGUUUAGAGGUUAUCAUCAGUGUUACUGUGUCUGUAGCUGUGCUCCUGCUGUUUCUGAUAGCUUUGAUCUUCAUCUACAAACGAAAUGGUGCAGCAGGACGGCAUGUCAAAGAGGACUGUAUCUGUGAGGAGAGACAGGAGAACCUCCAGAACCCAGAAAAUGCAGUGAACUCGAUUUCCAUCAGUGCCAAUAAUCCCAUAAACCACACUGCCUCGCCACAUUACGCUGCCAUCAACUUUCAAGUAAGGUCUGAAAAAGCUGGCGGUGUGAUUCUCAAACCCAGCUCUGCUGCCUGUGAGUAUUCUGCUGUGAAGUUCAGCACAUGUCCAGACGACCUGACCGUGACCCAACCACACAGACUGGUGAA